ensembl:lncRNA
CGGGCGGGCCGGGCCGGGGCGGCUCCGGUACCGGGGGCGGGCGCCGCUCUUUGACCCUCGGGUUGGUCGGGGAGCCCGGUUUUGUCGGGAAAGCCGGAUCCGCGCCGGGAUGCGGACAAAGACACGGAGCAGCUGUUCGGGAAUAAAGCUGAAAUAGUAGAACCUGGGAGAGAAGUUAGCUUGGGGGAGCUAUUAUUUUCGCCGCAAAACCCUCGGGAGGUAUUAAACAGCUGCAUCCAAACGACGGAGCGACCCAAAGGCCGGGAUCCCACCGCCUCGCCGUCGAGCAGCGGGCGCGUGGCUCAGCGCACGGCCGCAGGUUCCUCUGCAAAGAGCAGCGUAGCAGAGCGGUUGGGAGAGCUGUGCUGGACAGAGGACGGCCGGCCGCGAGCGGAGCCUCCCACCGGCGAGCAUUGCCAGGCGAGGAGAGAAAACCUGGGCAGCCUUAAAACACUCAGAGUGUAAUGUGACGCUUCCAAACCUUUGCAGCCUGCGGGCGAAAGUCUGCUCGAGGAGCCUGAAGACGCACCAUCCCCACUUAUCGCCCCAGAGGCAGGCUAUCUAGCUGACAAGCUGUGCGGUGAAAAACCAGGUGCCCAUGUGCCUGCUGCUCACCCAAGGCCUGAAAGGGAUCAGCUGCUCAUUUUGCAGAGCAAAGUAAGAUGGCAACAAGGUUUGUUUUUUUAUGUAACUUAUGUAUUGAUUGUUUUUUUCCUGUAAAACCUUCUGUAUUUUCUACUGCUGUCAAUAGAUGUGCACACAUUUCCCCAUCUUUUUUUUUUUUUCUUUUUUUUUGUCAUUCUAAGCAACAUUCAAUUAAAAUAUUUUGAGUGAAAUCUGCAGAGUUUUGGUGAGAAUGUGAAGUUUAACAGGGUGAUCGGCCUUAUUUCUGUGGUCAGGGGAUUUUUUAGCCCUAGGGUAUUUGUCUCGGUUGCGUCAAUUUUUACAACAUCUGAUUGUAGCAGAACCAGAGCCCCUAAAUCUGAAGCCCCCUCUCAGUGAACCUCUUAUUUCCUUGGGUUCAUUUGUUUCUUUAAGCAGACGAUCACUUUGUGUGUACUUCUGUCCCAGAAAAGAGUUUAUAGCUGAGAGCUGCUAAUUAUAUAUUGCUGCUGUGGAGAUGGGGAUGGGAAACUUUCCAAAUAUUUAUCCUUUUAAAGGUGAGGUAACUUAAAGGCAUGCGUGCAGUUUCCUUUAAACAAGCCAUUCCUUUACAAUUUCCAUAUCAAAGUACUACCGAACCCAAUAUAAGCGUUCACUGAACCUGAGCAGCACUGGAAUAAUAACUUUUUUAAAUCAGAGCUUUCUUGCUGAAGAAAUGUCAAAAAAAAAAAAAAAAAAAGAAAGAAAGAAAGAAAGAAAGAAAAGAAAAGAAAAAAGAAAGAAAGAAAGAAAGAAAAUAUUCCUGAAAGGAGUUCUGCCUUUUCAUCACCAGGGUGGGAUUUUUUGGUCCAAAAUAUUUAUUAAUCAGGAUAAAACAUGAGUUCACAAAUCCCUGCAGAGCUGUGGCUCAAUUCGGAGUGUAUCUGUGUCCUCAGAAGGUGAAACGUGAGAUUAAGGGCUGCAGGCUCUGCAAAAACACCGUUUGAAAAGACUAAAACUUCCAAAGCGGGGCUUGGAGGUAGUGAGCAACAGUCAUGCAAAGCAGUGUGGUGGGCUGGUAAAAUGUUCAGAGGAAAAGUAAGAUUUGUAGCCAAAAUAUUUUUUCUACAUUGGUUUAUGUCACCUUUCCUGCAGAUUUAGUAACCCCUGAAGAAUGUAAAACAAUGGGCUGCAUGAUAGAAUAAACACAAAACGAAUUUAAAACCUCUUAAUGUAUGCCAUGCAUUGGAAAUUUUAUAUAUAGAAUUUUACAACAUCUAUAAAAUUAAAUUUUCAAACAAGAACACUGCCCAUCAGUUUGCAUGAAUUGUUACAUCUUCACUGAGGCAAUACUGACUUAGAGCAUCCCUACGUUCAUCACAUGUGGACUUGUUGGCCAUUGUUGAAUACGUCCAAGUGGACUCUGAAGAUUUUCUCCAUCAUGGAUUAUUGCUGGCCCUUCCUACCCACAGACCAGUUUUUCUGUAUACUUGAACUAACUGUAGGCUGAGAACCACAGGGCACGAUGCCGUGCAAAGUGGGAACACCUUCCGUGUCUUCACACUUACUCUGAUUCAAAGCAUCUCUCAAGUAUAUGUGAACACUAUUUAACACUAACACUACAUAUGUGAACAGCUAUUUAAACUAGCUUUAAGUAUUUUAACUCCUGCCACAAUGUGGGGUUGGAAUGCCCGAUUUACAUCGAGGUUGGGGUUUCACUACUAACAUUAAACUCAUCCCAGAGUAGAAAACCUAAAACAUCAUUUGACUACAUUUAAAUCCCGAGAACAGGAAAAUGUUUCUGAUCCACACUUUCAGGUAAAACUGAAUUGAAAGCUUUGGAUUCCACUCUGUGGUAUCUGUUGAUUUUGUGAGUGGAUAGAACAGCCAGAUUUGUCCAAAAUUUUGUUUAUAAAAAGGUAUGCAAUAAGGCCUCAUAAAAGGACCUCAGGUGCUGGGAAUGCACAAACAGAUUGCAAAGCCGAGCUAAUUUUCAGAAUGUUGCAAUCACCUUAUUUUUAAUUUCAUUUUUUCUCCAAAUUUAAAAAUAUUUCCCCCCUCCCUAGUAUCAUCUUUUUACUGUUCAACAUGAAAGACUCAUAGAAGUAACAAAGGCAAUUGAUUAUCCAGGACAGCAGCAUCAUGAGAGCAACCAAGCAUUAUCCGGUGAUCAAAACAAACAAACCAGGACAGCAAUAGAGUGUAAUUGUGGGCUUUUUUUUUUUUCUUUUCCUUUUUUCUUUUUUUCUUCUUUUUUUCUUUUUUUUUCCUCUUACUUUCUUCCUUUGUUUCUCAUUUAUUGUGUCCCUUCUUAGUUUUGUUUUUCUCUUUAGAUGCUCUCCGUAAUGACAGGUAAAUUAUUUCAGACAGAUAUGUUGGAGUUUUUUUUAUCUGUCUUUUUAAAUUUUAGUGCUUCCUUUACACUUUGUUAGAUAUGCCCUCAGAAUUUAUCACAGUCAUGGUACAAAAGAGCUCCUGAGCACCUGGCUGUGUUGUUUCACUGAGCACCCAGUCCCCCGGUGCCAUGUUGAGUGCACAUGUCCUAGUGCUGAAGGUACUGUGCAUUGCGUCUUUCUGUAACGUGCAGGGUAAUGUUUGGGUUACUUCAUUAUUGCCUCAUUGAAACAAAUACUGAGGAAUAAAUUUUAUGAGGUCCUUUGUGAAGGUUCAGGGAGAAGUGCAUGUCUCAAAGAAGAUUUGUGCACGUUGUCUUCUGUGAAUUAGCAGAACGGGUAAACGAUGCAGUGAUGUGAUAGGAUAUGCUGCAGUAUGCUACAAGAUAUGAACUGCUUGGGAUCCCAUCUAUCGUGAUCUUUGUACACCUGGUCUCCUCAGCUCCCUCCAAGAGCUGAGCAUCUUAGCCCUAUAUGGAAGUAAAAGAAACAUGUCCCGGCUCCUGCCCCUGUCUUUGCUCCCCUGUUUAUCUCACUUUGCUCUAAUGAGCUCAGAGAAUGGCAGAGAGGCACCAAAGGCACAAUCUAGCCUUUUAUCAAUACAACAGCAACAUAAGGUUUUUUGUAAGACAGCAGGGUCAGAUCCUUGCCCAAUGUGUUGACUUGGUAUUGAGGUGUUGUGCUUGAUGUGGGGAGACAAGGGGUCCCGUUCAUGACGGCUGUUAAUGCGUUUUGUUUAAAAUGCUUUAUUUCCCCUUUCAUGCCAAAUAUGCCAAGCAAGGAGUGCUUUCCUGGUGCCAGAUUUCAUCUGAAAUUGGUCCUAUGCUGAACGAGUUGGGGCCACUGAGAAGCAGAAAGUGGAUGAAGCAAGAUCCUAAAAGGGAAAGACCAAUGUUUUAUUUACUACAAUAAACCCUAAACCCAGGUUUAUCACUAACUAGUCGUAUUUUCUGUUUGUGUUUGUCUUUGUGGUCUGACAUUUGCUCAUGCUGUGAUAGCUUCAUCAAAAUACAUUUUUUAGAAAAAGCAUAUUGCUUGUCACUGUUUCAUUGACACAGAAAACAAUCAUGUUAGAAUUUUAUGAACAAAACAUUGACUUGUAUGGUAUUCCUAAUGCAUAUUAAGUUUACCCGAAAUGAGGAGAGCCAGA